rnacentral:misc_RNA from 1 species
CUCUGUGCAAUUAGCCAUAGCUUGGGAGGAGCUGCCAUGCUGAUGUAUGUUAUCACACGCUGUAUUGAAGAAAAGCCUCAUAGACUUUCCAGAUUGAUUCUAUUGUCACCUGCUGGUUUCCAUCAUGACUCCACUCUGGCAUUUACAGCUAUGGAGUAUCUGCUGCUUCUGUUGGCCCCUAUUCUAGGACCUAUUAUACCUGGCUUGUACAUACCCACAAGAUUCUUCCG